rnacentral:misc_RNA from 1 species
AAGUCGUAACAAGGUUUCCGUAGGUGAACCUGCGGAAGGAUCAUUAACACGCAUUGAAAGCAUCCAAUAUCAAAAAUCACAACCAAACGGUCAACUAUCUCCUCCCUAUUUCGCACACCGGAGACGGUACGAGUAGGCUAACAUGUAAAUAACAUAACAUUUGUUAUGAAACAAACACAAGAUAACCCCUUUUAAUUAUAUUAUUCAUUUAAUAUAAUAUAAAACAACUCUUCGAUUUGCUUCUCUUGAGAAGAAAAACGAACUAAACUAAAAUAUACAUUCGAUAUAUUUUUAUUUUACGAAAUAAUAUAUAUUUAUAAGAACAACUCUUAGCAAUGGAUAUCUUGGUUCUC